rnacentral:tRNA from 1 species
GCACUGGUGGCUCAGUGGUGGAAUUCUUGCCUUCCACACAAGAAAUCCAGGUUUGAUGCCUGGCCAAUGCA